CGUCGCCGGAUCUGGAGGUAGACCAGGAUGGUGAGCCAGGCCACCAGGGCGGACUCCAGGCAGGUGAGUG